rnacentral:rRNA from 1 species
CCUACGGGUGGCAGCAGUGAGGAAUAUUGGUCAAUGGACGAGAGUCUGAACCAGCCAAGUAGCGUGAAGGAUGACUGCCCUAUGGGUUGUAAACUUCUUUUAUAAAGGAAUAAAACGAGGCACGUGUGCCUUUUUGUAUGUACCAUAUGAAUAAGCAUCGGCUAACUCCGUGCCAGCAGCCGCGGUAAUACGGAGGAUGCGAGCGUUAUCCGGAUUUAUUGGGUUUAAAGGGUGCGUAGGUGGGUAAUUAAGUCAGCGGUGAAAGUUUGUGGCUCAACCAUAAAAUUGCCGUUGAAACUGGUUGACUUGAGUAUAUUAGAGGUAGGCGGAAUGCGUGGUGUAGCGGUGAAAUGCAUAGAUAUCACGAAGAACUCCGAUUGCGAAGGCAGCUUACUAAACUAUAACUGACACUGAAGCACGAAAGCGUGGGGAUCAAACAGGAUUAGAUACCCUAGUAGUC